GGGGACCUUCGGGGCCCUAAAAGACCGAGCAAAACAAAUGCUCGAAACAUACUGGUCGGGGCAACCCGAUCUUGCUUAACGGAAGACAGAAA
rnacentral:ncRNA from 1 species